CCCUUAGAUGUUCUGGGCCGCACGCGCGUUACAAUGAAUCGUUGAGCAGGUUUGAAUUGUGUCCUGAGUCGAAAGGCUUGGGUAAUCCUUUGAAAACGGUUCGUGCUAGGGAUAGAUUUUUGCAAUUAUUAAUCUUGAACGAGGAAUAUUUAGUAAACGCAGGUCAUCAGCCUGCAUUGAUUACGUCCCUGCCCUUUGUACACACCGCCCGUCGCACCAACCGAUUGGAUGUUUUGUUGAAAUAUGUGGGUAUCUUUGUGGAUGGUUUGAUUACUGUCUGUUGAGGGUAGAAGUGUAUUAAAACUGAAUAUCUAGAGGAUGGUGAAGUCGUANCA
rnacentral:rRNA from 1 species